CCAUGACGCCGGCCACCGUUGCCACCUAUUUUUGAACCCAAAUACUAAGCAUGAUUAUCGGCCUUUCAGACUUCGAACCAUAAAGAAAACAUGGCCAAUACACAAUUCUUUCCUUACUCACCUUGACGCAUAUGGACUACAAGGUUUUGCUAGGCUCACAUCAAGCGAAGACCCUUCCCAGUUACGUUCGGACCCAUCCCUUUUGACAUCCCUCAUUGACCGGUGGAGACCUGAAACCCACACCUUUCACUUUCGUUUUGAGGAGCUUGCACCUACACUGAAAGAUGUUUCUAUGAUCACUGCUCUACCAAUUAGAGGUGAGCCGUUAGUCUCUCCAAGAGUGUCUCCAUCUUGGCCAUUAGAUAUAGCAGCCCGUCUUGGGAUGGAAAUGCCAGAAUCACAACGUACUGGUGGCCCUCGGGGCAUCCCACUCGUCUGGCUUCAUGAUAACUUCCGUAUUUUAUCUAGCUUCGCCAAUGAGGAGACGAGAAAAAGACAUCUGUUUGCGUAUUUGUUGUGGCUCUUCGGGACUCUGUUUCCAAAUUCACAUGGGGACGUAGUUCUCCCUGAUCUCAUCUACAUUGCACAGAAUAUGGUAGAUGAACCUUUACCCGAGCAGCCAAAAUACAGCUUCGGUUCUGCCAUGUUAUCUCAUACAUAUAGAGGCUUGUGUGAUGCCACACAAAAAACCUCUUUCGCACAAAAAGCUCCAUUACUUUGUGUCGCCUACGAAUUUCUACAGUUGUGGUCCUGGGAAUACCCCCCUGUAGGACGACCUCGUAUAGUACAACCCGCACACCCAUACGACUUUAGUGAGGGUGGUAGUGCAACUAUGGCCACCAGGUGGACAAAGGCACGGAAACGUUGGUCUCCAGAUAUUGCGAAAAAUUGUUACCCUAUGUACCACCAGCAGUUUGAGAUACUUGAUGAGGCAGAAGUCACAUGGAACCCGUGGACUCAGGACCAACUACAAAUGGUCUUUGAUGCUCGACCCUUCACACUAGGCAUGUUAAGCGAUAGUGCAUUCUGGCUGACUCGCUGCAACUUAUUGUUCCUGUGGUAUGUUGAGCCUUACAACCCAGAGCGUGUAAUGAGACAAUUCGGUCUCUAUCAAGAAAUUCCACCACCUUUUCCAAGACGUAUCGAUGAGGAAACCCAUAAGUAAGAUGUGACCUCCCUAAAUAGUUAGUGUCUUUUUUAAUUUACUAAACUCACACUUUGUUACAUAAUUUGCAGGCUAACCAAUAUGGGCAGGGGUUGGAAUUUAUACGAUUGGAGGAAACACAACAUUCAAUGGGUACAGAAGUGGGAAAAUGAAGCGCUAGUAGAUAUAGUGCAUGAACUUAGACCAUACGAUGGAAGUACAGAUCAAGCGUACAAGCAGUGGUACUGCAUCAACACACGUGCUAGCCUGGCCAGUCAGCCAACUACUAUACCGACACAUCUCACACAGGAGGAGCAGGCGCGGAGACAUAUUGAGCUGCAUGCAGCUUACUAUUGUGAUCAGAUGGUAAUCACUUGUAACUUUUUUAGGUCCAUCAUUUCAUAAUCAUUUGAACCAAAUAACAUCCAAAUAUUGCUCAACUUGCAAGUUGCAACGAAGUAGGGCAGAUGGCUAUGGAAAGCAUGCCUGCCCAGGGCCCAGCUCGCCCGUCAUUCAGCAAAUGUUUUCAACAAUACCUGGUAACAAAGUUCAGAUGCGGUAGAGGCGAUGAUGUUGUCACUGGAGCGUACAACAUGCCAGUAGCAAGGUCAGCCAGACCGAGUGCGGCGCCGUCGUCCAGACCGAGCGAGGCGCGUACGAGCCAUGGGCAGUGGGGGGAGAGUCCGAGUACUAGAACGACAUUGCCACGACAUGACUCAUCUCUGCCACUGCAUCGCUCUUCUUCGGUGCAGCUUCGUCAGGGGCAGACAUCUCAGGGCCAUGGCAAGGGCUUGGAUUCGAUGCCCAAGCAGACUCUUUCCCCUAACCCAUAUGCGUACACAGGAUAUGACGCAUACACCCAAGGUGAGGGAUCUUAGUCGUAUCUCUCCACGCGAGGGAUCUCCAUGCCCGAGGAGACUCGUGUACCAGAUUUAAACCAGUACCACGUACAAUGGCCAGACAGUACAGGCGAGGGAUCUGAUCAGGGUGGCAUACCUGAUGUUAAUUGGGACGAUGAGAACACCCAACGUGGCGUCAACACAGGCGUCCCGGGAGCAUCACAUGAUCAUGGCGACACGGUUACAUCAUUAGUUACAGAGUUCUUCGGAGGGGACGUUAUUGGCCCAUCUUUUAUCCCCGCGGAGUCACAACCAUACACCUACAAUUAUGCUUCAGGUUCGUAACAAGGAUUCCCGACUCCACCACCUACACAGGAGUCGCAGACACAUGAAGCCGAAUUGGAGUACGGCCGCGGUCUUCGUGUAACUCGGCCACCUAAUCGCUUGGAGCUUUCCGGUCGUAAGGAAAUGCCAUGUGGUCAUCGUAAACUAGGGUGAUUCAUCUAUCCACGUGUGUGACCCAUUGUAUCUACAUAUGUCAGUAUCAGACUUUUCGAUUUGAACAUCUAUGUAUGCUGAAAUAAAAAUGCACCAGUC